ACCUGGAUAGCUCAGCUGGUUAGAGCGUGGUGCUGAUAAUGCCAAGGCUGCAGGUUUUGAUCCCCGUAUGGGACA